GCUGGGUGUGGUGGUGCACACCUGUGGUCCCAGCUACUCAGGAAGCUGAGGUGGGAGGAUCGCUUGAGCCCAGGACGUCAAGGCUGCAGUGAGCCAAGAUCUUGCCACUCCACUCCAGCCUGGGUGACAAAGUGAAGUCUCAUCUCUA
ensembl:misc_RNA Metazoa_SRP Metazoan signal recognition particle RNA